rnacentral:rRNA from 2 species
UACGGAGGGGGCUAGCGUUGUUCGGAAUUACUGGGCGUAAAGCGCACGUAGGCGGAUGGACAAGUCAGAGGUGAAAUCCCAGGGCUCAACCUUGGAACUGCCUUUGAAACUGUGCGUCUUGAGGUCGAGAGAGGUGAGUGGAAUUCCGAGUGUAGAGGUGAAAUUCGUAGAUAUUCGGAGGAACACCAGUGGCGAAGGCGGCUCACUGGCUCGAUACUGACGCUGAGGUGCGAAAGCGUGGGGAGCAAACAGG